CCUGCUGUAGAUUGGCAGAAAAGGAGACCAAACAAAAAACAUGAUUUUGCUGGCAUUAAAUAAGAAUACACCACGUAUUGAUGUUGUAACUCAGUUGACAGAGUGCUUGCCUAGCAUGCGUGAAGAUCUGGAUUCAGUCCCGAGUACAAAGACCUGGGCUUGAUCCUCCACUCCGCAUGAAGCAGAUGUGAUGGUGACAGUCUUGGGAUCUGAGGCUCUGCAGAAGGAGUUGGUGGCUCAAGAGGCCUAAAUGACUGUAACUCAGAGCAAGUCUGAGCUCUGAUUCUGAGGCCAGAAGCUUUGGGUUCAGGUUUUCUCUGUAUAGCCCUGCAUGGUCAUUGUCUUGACAUCCCUGGGAAGACAACAUACACAGAGGGGUGUGAAUUGGUGUGCAUUGCAUGUGAUGUGGGCUUUGCUGAUACACAGUUGACAUCUCCUUUGGAUUCAGCUG